GCCCGCACAGUGCCAAGUAGACAUGCCCGCCCCAGUUUACUCUAUUUUGCUCCCGUACUCGCCGCCGCGAAAGUCCUAUGGGCAACCAACCCGCCGACGGUUUUACUAGGGCGCGCGAGUACUCAAACACGGGGGCUUCCACGCAACAGGGGUUCACUCUCCUCGGGAAUUCAAUGCUAUUUUGAAGAAGUGAGACUGGAUCGAGUUGUUUGAGCCUCCUUCGGAGAUUGCUGACAUGUUGGAUACUGAGAAGAUCGAUGAGAUUGUCCUUUUGUAGAAGGGAUGAUUGAACGUUGUUGUUUGGGUAACCCCUCCCUCUCCCCAUAAAAUAUAUAUAUAUAUAUAUCCUUAGUUUCUAAAUAUUAUUGUGAUUAAACCUUAGUAAGGAUGGCCGGAUUUAAUUCUCGCCUCAUACAUUUAGAUUAGAUGUGUGUUUAUUUUAUUUGUGAAUUGAUAUGAUAUUUUAAUCUUGUUAUUUUAGAGUUUGUUAUAGUUAGUUGUAUUGGGUUGUUGUUGAUGUAAUAUAAGUUUUUAUAGUA